rnacentral:misc_RNA from 1 species
GAUGAAGAACGCAGCGAAAUGCGAUAAGUAAUGUGAAUUGUAGAAUUCAGUGAAUCAUCGAAUCUUUGAACGCACCUUGCGCUCUUUGGUAUUCCGAAGAGCAUGCCUGUUUGAGUGUCAUGAAAAUAUCAACCUUGACUUGGGUUUUGUGCUCUAGUCUCGGCUUGGAAUUGGGUGCUUGCCGCUUUUACGAGCUGCUCACCUUAAAUGUAUUAGCUGGAUCUGUCUUUGAGACUUGGUUUGACUUGGCGUAAUAAGUAUUUCGCUAAGGACAUUCUUCGGAGUGGCCUCGUUUCUAGGACGCUUGUCCGCUUUCCAAUACAAGUUCCACCUCGUGGACAUGACUUUUUAUUAUCUGGCCUCAAAUCAGGUAGGACUACCCGCUGAACUUAAGCAUAUCAAUAAGCGGAGGA